rnacentral:misc_RNA from 1 species
UUUCCGUAGGUGAACCUGCGGAAGGAUCAUUACAAAUCCAAACGUCUCCUUAUACGAGACCCUGUUGAAAUGUUCUGUUGCACAGCAGCGCAACAGCCCCUUUACAAUAACCUAGUGUGAACGUUGCCCAUAUGUAUGUCUCUUGAACACACAAACAAGAAACAACUUAUAACAAUGGAUCUCUAGGCUCUU